CUAAACCGCGAGGGCGAUAGCCCGAGCGAUUCGAGAGGGUGUGGUUUUGAUGAGGGGAGGUGGGACUGUAAUAGGUUCCAUCAUUCUUUUCACUUUCAAAUUGCGAUUUUCAAACAAGUAUGAGCAAGUGAUUACGACACA
rnacentral:misc_RNA from 1 species